CUUCCGAGGAGAACACAGCAUUGCCGACAUCCGAAGCAGUAGUCGUCUCUACAUCAGCAGACAAGUGUUGAGAAAAAUAAGUGUUCUUCAGGGAGAAAGAGAGUUCGUGCUAGAUAACAAAUCGCUCGGCAGGAUGCCAAUGGAAACACUGGAAAUAACCGAGAUAUCGGGCUAGUGACGAGAUUCUUUCUCUGAUCAAGAGGAAUGAUCUAAAUCUUUGGACAAGAAGAGGAAUGCCAUCGACACAUAGAGCCAGUCUGAGUCUGUGAUUUAGCAGACAGAAAAGCAACUCAAGGAGCUUGGAGAUAAGGUGCCUGAUACGGUGAGGGAGAAGGCUGAAGCAAAGGUCAAAGAUGCAAACGAAUCGACUCAAGCUAGGAAGGAAGCAAUGGCUGCGCUUAACCAGGAGGUGAUGCAGCUCCUGGAGGCUGGAGCUGAAGCCGAUUCCGCAGGAACAUCUUCGAAGGGAGCUAAUAGUGAACAUCUUCGAAAGGAGAUUGUCUCCCAAGGGAACUGAUGCUGAUGCCGAUGAUGUGACGAUAAUUUGAUCAUCUUCUAAGGAAGCUGAUAAAUGUGAUCGAUGUUGACUUCACAUAUAGUCAAGGGAGCAGAUGCUGACUUCACUGAUAGUCUUACCAUUGCCGCAGUAGCCAUCUAAUUUCAUGGCAAGAUAUUGGAACAAGAUUUUCUGAAUAUUUGUUCCUUUAUAAGUCACUGACACUUAUUAAUCAUAAAAAGCUGUGAACAGCAGGAAAGGAAAGCUGAAAUUGAUGUUCAAUUUAAGGAUGUUCCUGGGGAUAUCUUCAAAUGUGUGCCAUUUUAAUUUUAGUUUUCCUCUGUAUCCUCAAUGAUCUUUUUAUAAGCUCCUGUUAAUUAGUCUCUGGUUAAAGCACCUCAAUUAUUCGAUGAC